rnacentral:lncRNA from 1 species
UGCGCGGUCUGCCUCCCGCGGCGGGCCGGGUCUCCAGGGAGGACCUGAGUUUUCUUCACCCAUUGUCAGGGAGGCGCCAUCGCCCUGGCUUUGGGGCUGGGGCCUCCGGGGAGGUUCCGGUAGGGGCGUUGGAGAGGCCGCUCUUUUUGCAAGGCCCGAGACGGCGGGCCCUGCGCAGGCCGCCCUAUUCCGCGCCCUCAGGGCGUCAGUAUCAGCCUGAGGCUGGAUACCCCCGCUGGGCCCGGAUGACCCCGCUGGGCCCGGAGCAUCCUCCGGCGCUGCCCUCCCAGAGCCACGCAGAGGCUGAGGUGGCGCGGGGGCGGCCCCGGCUCCGCGAGAAGCGGCGGCAGCGAGGGCUGGAGGACCCGGGCUGCGGGGCUCCGGGGCGUCUGGCCUGGGUGGGACUGAGCCCAUCCAGGGACUGGGACUCUGGGAUUCUGGUGUAGGUGGAUCCGGGGCAGGCUCAGGACCAAGUCCCUCUCCUUCCACCAAGGAGCGCCCAGAGGCCGGCGGGAGCUCCAGGUUCACCUCCUCCUCCUCCAGGAAAUCCCACUUCCAGCUAGAUGUCUGCAUGAACUACUGAAAGCUGCUGAGUGUCUUGCAGCAGGUGAGCUGUGGCCAGAGCUCAAGGAUGAAGGGGACUCCCUCACUCUGUGACUGUGAAGAGGAAGCCUGAGGUGUAGCAGGCCCAGGCCCCAGAAGUAUGGAAAAAAUGAGCUUGACUACCACACAAAUGAAUCCAUUCAAAUGUUGGCAAGUGGAGCAGAGUCCCAGGACAGAUCACAUUCUUAACCUCUAGAGAGUCUGGCAGGACCAGAGCCUUACCUUUCCCAGUCUGCAAUCUCUACAGGUACAGAAACACCCCCAGUUCAAGAAUCUUCACAUCUGAAUUUAGUCCUACACCUGCAACUACCCCAGCUACUUACACCAAGAUGAAGAUAAUUUAUUAGUUCA